UACGGAGGGGGCCAGCAUUGUUCGGAAUCAUUGGGCGUAAAGGGCGCGUAGGCGGCCACGCAAGUCGGAUGUGAAAUCCCUCGGCUCAACCGAGGAACUGCAUCCGAAACUGCGAGGCUCGAGUCCUGGAGAGGGUAGUGGAAUUCCCAGUGUAGCGGUGAAAUGCGUAGAUACUGGGAGGAACACCGGUGGCGAAGGCGGCUACCUGGACAGGUACUGACGCUGAGGCGCGAAAGCCAGGGGAGCAAACAGG
rnacentral:rRNA from 1 species